UUACUUACCUGCCAGGGGAGGUACCGUGAUCAUGAAGGUGGUAUUCCUUGGGCAAGGCUUAUCCAUUGCACUCCGGAUGUGCUGACUCCUGAGAUUUCCCCAAAUGUGGGAAACUCGACUGUAUAAUUUGUGGNNNNN
rnacentral:snRNA from 1 species